ensembl:miRNA
UCAUAACUUUCUCAAAAAAUUCUCCUUUUGGGCUUUAAACACUCCAGGCUUAGCUUUAGCCAAGAGGUGAAUAUUUAGAAAGUUUCUGC